GGGAGGAGUCCAGGAGGC
rnacentral:miRNA from 1 species